GAUGAACGCUGGCGGCGUGCCUAAUACAUGCAAGUCGAGCGAAUGGAUUAAGAGCUUGCUCUUAUGAAGUUAGUGGCGGACGGGUGAGUAACACGUGGGUAACCUGCCCACAAGACUGGGAUAACUCCGGGAAACCGGGGCUAAUACCGGAUAACAUUUUGAACCGCAUGGUUCGAAAUUGAAAGGCGGCUUCGGCUGUCACUUAUGGAUGGACCCGCGUCGCAUUAGGUAGUUGGUGAGGUAACGGCUCACCAAGGCAACGAUGCGUAGCCGACGUGAGAGGGUAGUCGGCCACGCGGGGACUGAGACACGGCCCAGACUCCUACGGGAGGCAGCAGUAGGGAAUCUUCCGCAAUGGACGGAAGUCUGACGGAGCAACGCCGCGUGAGUGAUGAAGGCUUUCGGGUCGUAAAACUCUGUUGUUAGGGAAGAACAAGUGCUAGUUGAAUAAGCUGGCACCUUGACGGUACCUAACCAGAAAGCCACGGCUAACUACGUGCCAGCCGCCGCGGUAA
rnacentral:rRNA from 1 species